rnacentral:rRNA from 1 species
UACGUAGGUGGCAAGCGUUGUCCGGAAUUAUUGGGCGUAAAGCGCGCGCAGGCGGCUUCUUAAGUCUGAUGUGAAAUCUCGGGGCUCAACCCCGAGCGGCCAUUGGAAACUGGGAAGCUUGAGUACAGAAGAGGAGAGUGGAAUUCCACGUGUAGCGGUGAAAUGCGUAGAUAUGUGGAGGAACACCAGUGGCGAAGGCGGCAUUCUGGACCAUUACUGACGCUGAGGAGCGAAAGCCAGGGGAGCAAACGGG